rnacentral:rRNA from 1 species
GACCGGCAAACGGGUGCGGAACACGUACGCAACUUUCCCAAAACUGGUGAAUAGCCCUCCGAAAGGAGGAGGAAUACACCGUAACAUAAUGAAGUGGCAUCACUUGAUUAUUAUAGCUCCGGCGGUUUUGGAUGGGCGUGCGCCUGAUUAGGUAGUUGGUAGGGUAACGGCCUACCAAGCCAACGAUCAGUAACUGGUGUGAGAGCACGACCAGUCACACGGGCACUGAGACACGGGCCCGACUCCGUACGGGAGGCAGCAGUAAGGAAUAUUGGUCAAUGGACGAAAGUCUGAACCAGCCAUGCCGCGUGAAGGAUGAAGGCCCUCUGGGUUGUAAACUUCUUUUAUAGGGGACGAAAAAAGGGAAUUCUUUCUCACUUGACGGUACCCUAGGAAUAAGCACCGGCUAACUCCGUGCCAGCAGCCGCGGUAAUACGGAGGGUGCAAGCGUUAUCCGGAUUUACUGGGUUUAAAGGGUGCGUAGGUGGGCAAUUAAGUCAGCGGUGAAAUCUCCGGGCUUAACCCGGAAAUUGCCAUUGAUACUAUUUGUCUUGAAUUA